ACUUAAGCCCAACGUACAGAAACU
rnacentral:miRNA from 11 species